ACAUUCCUUAUUAUCUAUUGGUUAUGUUUACCUAACUGCAUGAAUACAAGGAUAUCUUGCAUAUCAAUAGUGCAGUGAACGUGAGUUCGCCAGCCAAAAGUAAACAUUACCUUGCGUUUAAAUUUAAACUACAGUAAGAGGACGUUUAAGCUGCUAUGACAGAAGUCCUUUUUAGUUCAACAAUGGAGGUGCUUGGUUGUACAUUGGUACAGUGUAAAUAGCAGUUUUUGGAAGCAGCUAUUUUAUCAUCCAGCUGAGCUAUGAAAGUCUUUUCAGUUAGAACUACACCUGUAUAUAUAGGUUCUUUACAACAGUCUAUGGAAACUUCUGGAAUAUCUACUAUUCUAAGAACUCCAAGACCUAAAACAACUAACAUGAGUCCCCCAUAUAGGCAUCCAAUGGCAGUUAUAAAUAAAGACAAUCAAGUAAAGCACAUUGAAAGGCAGGACAAGAAACAUUUCUAAGUCAGAUCUGCAUGUUUGUCCUUCUUGAAGUCAGGGCUUACAUCAUUCAUCUACACAUACUGAAACAAAAUAUGCCACAAAAAAACGUACAAGGCUUGUGUUAUAUUAUGAAACUAGCAAAGUGACAAUCUUUUUGAAGAUGAAAUGUUAUAACAACAAGAGGGCCAUACUGACCGACAGUCGCUCACCUAACCUUGGUUAUUUUAUCUUGAAGACACACCGAAUCAUAAAUGGUGAAACAACAUAGAUGCAGAAGUUCACAAAGAUAUGAAUAAGAGAAGAGUGACUUAUAAGCUUUGUGACCUUGACCCUGAAGAUAUGAAAAAAAUGUGUUCAGACAGACUUUCGGAUCACUGGAAUCAUAUAUAUGUUGCAUUAAAAUCUUUAAAAAUAAAUCUGUCUGCUAUAUAA